GAUGAAGAACGUAGCGAAAUGCGAUACGUAAUGUGAAUUGCAGAAUUCAGUGAAUCAUCGAAUCUUUGAACGCAUAUUGCGCUCUUUGGUAUUCCGAAGAGCAUGCUUGUUUGAGUAUCAGUAAACACCUCAACCUCUUCUUGAUUUUUCAAAAGGAGGGUGGACUUGAGCUAUCCCAACAACCUUUACCGGUCGGCGGGCGGCUUGAAUUGCAGGUGCAGCUGGACUUUUAUCUGAGCUAAAAGCAUAUCUAUUUAGUCCUCGUCAAACAGGAUUAUUACUUUUGCUGCAGCUAACAUAAAGGAUAAUUGUCCUCUUUGCUGACUGAUGCAGGAUUUUACGACACUUUAUGUGUUGUUCAACUCGAUCUCAAAUCAAGUAAGACUACCCGCUGAACUUAAGCAUAUCAAUAAGCGGAGGA
rnacentral:misc_RNA from 1 species